CACGUAGGGGGCGAGCGUUGUCCGGAUUUAUUGGGCGUAAAGAGCUCGUAGGCGGUUCGAUAAGUCGGGUGUGAAAACUCUGGGCUCAACUCAGAGACGCCACCCGAUACUGUUGUGACUUGAGUCCGGUAGGGGAGUAUGGAAUUCCCGGUGUAGCGGUGAAAUGCGCAGAGUAUCGGGAGGAACACCAGUGGCGAAGGCGGUACUCUGGGCCGGAACUGACGCUGAGGAGCGAAAGCGUGGGUAGCGAACAGG
rnacentral:rRNA from 1 species